rnacentral:rRNA from 1 species
AGCUCGACACCUACGGGGGGCAGCAGUGGGGAAUAUUGCACAAUGGGGGAAACCCUGAUGCAGCGACGCCGCGUGAGCGAAGAAGUAUUUCGGUAUGUAAAGCUCUAUCAGCAGGGAAGAAAAUGACGGUACCUGACUAAGAAGCCCCGGCUAACUACGUGCCAGCAGCCGCGGUAAUCUGAGCGGGCUGGCAAGGC